GAAUAUUGGACAAUGGGCGCAAGCCUGAUCCAGCCAUGCCGCGUGAGUGAUGAAGGUCUUAGGAUUGUAAAGCUCUUUCACCGAGGAAGAUAAUGACGGUAGUCGGAGAAGAAGCCCCGGCUAACUUCGUGCCAGCAGCCGCGGUAGUACGAAGGGGGCUAGCGUUGUUCGGAAUUACUGGGCGUAAAGCGCACGUAGGCGGAUAUUUAAGUCAGGGGUGAAAUCCCGCAGCUCAACUGCGGAACUGCCUUUGAUACUGGGUAUCUUGAGUAUGGAAGAGGUGGGUGGAAUUCCGAGUGUAGAGGUGAAAUUCGUAGAUAUUCGGAGGAACACCAGUGGCGAAGGCGGCUCACUGGUCCAUUACUGACGCUGAGGUGCGAAAGCGUGGGGAGCAAACAGG
rnacentral:rRNA from 1 species